rnacentral:rRNA from 1 species
GUAAGGAAUAUUGGUCAAUGGACGCAAGUCUGAACCAGCCAUGCCGCGUGAAGGAUGAAGGUCCUCUGGAUUGUAAACUUCUUUUAUAGGGGACGAAACCCGGGUAUUCUUACCCGAUUGACGGUACCCUAGGAAUAAGCACCGGCUAACUCCGUGCCAGCAGCCGCGGUAAUACGGAGGGUGCAAGCGUUAUCCGGAUUCACUGGGUUUAAAGGGUGCGUAGGAGGGCAGGGAAGUCAGUGGUGAAAUCUCCGGGCUUAACUCGGAAACUGCCGUUGAUACUCUCUGUCUUGAAUCCCGUGGAGGUGAGCGGAAUAUGUCAUGUAGCGGUGAAAUGCUUAGAUAUGACAUAGAACACCAAUUGCGAAGGCAGCUCGCUACACGAAGAUUGACUCUGAGGCACGAAAGCGUGGGGAUCAAACAGGAUUAGAUACCCCAGUAGUCC